rnacentral:misc_RNA from 1 species
CAGAGUUGCAAAACUCCCACAAACCAUCGCGAAUCUUACCCGUACGGUUGCCUCGGCGCUGGCGGUCCGGAAGGCCCUCGGGCCCCCGGAUCCUCGGGUCUCCCGCUCGCGGGAGGCUGCCCGCCGGAGUGCCGAAACUAAACUCUUGAUAUCUUAUGUCUCUCUGAGUACACUUUUAAAUAAGUCAA